rnacentral:piRNA from 1 species
UCCCAGGAAGAGCUUCGCAUCGUGGAGGGU